rnacentral:rRNA from 1 species
CCUAGGGGAGGCAGCAGUGGGGAAUAUUGGACAAUGGGCGAAAGCCUGAUCCAGCCAUGCCGCGUGUGUGAAGAAGGCCUUCGGGUUGUAAAGCACUUUCAGUGGGGAAGAAAGCCUUGGGGCUAAUACCCUCGAGGAAGGACAUCACCCACAGAAGAAGCACCGGCUAACUCCGGGCCAGCAGCCGCGGUAAUACGGAGGGUGCGAGCGUUAAUCGGAAUUACUGGGCGUAAAGCGCGCGUAGGCGGUCUGAUAAGCCGGUUGUGAAAGCCCCGGGCUCAACCUGGGAACGGCAUCCGGAACUGUCAGGCUAGAGUGCAGGAGAGGAAGGUAGAAUUCCCGGUGUAGCGGUGAAAUGCGUAGAGAUCGGGAGGAAUACCAGUGGCGAAGGCGGCCUUCUGGACUGACACUGACGCUGAGGUGCGAAAGCGUGGGUAGCAAACAGGAUUAGAUACCCGAGUAGUC